CUGCUCACAAUGAGUUUCCCUGCUCAGCUCCUGGGGCUGCUAAUGCUCUGGCUCCCUGGAUCCAGUGGGGAUAUUGUGAUGACCCAGACUCCACUCUCCCUGUCCGUUACCCCUGGAGAACCAGCCUCCAUCUCCUGCAGGUCUAGUCAGAGCCUCCUGCAUAGUAAUGGAAACACCUAUUUGCAUUGGUUUCUGCAGAAGCCAGGCCAGUCCCCACAGCGCCUGAUCUAUAGGGUUUCCAACCUGGCCUCUGGAAUCCCAGACAGGUUCAGUGGCAGUGGGUCAGGGACAGAUUUCACACUGAAAAUCAGCAGGGUGGAGGCUGAGGAUAUUGGGGUUUAUUACUGUGUGCAAAGUAUACAAACUCCUCCCACAGUGAUAUAA